rnacentral:rRNA from 1 species
GACGGAGGAUGCAAGCGUUAUCCGGAAUGAUUGGGCGUAAAGCGUCCGCAGGUGGCAGUUCAAGUCUGCUGUCAAAGACCGGGGCUUAACUUCGGAAAGGCAGUGGAAACUGAACAGCUAGAGUAUGGUAGGGGCAGAGGGAAUUCCUGGUGUAGACGGUCGAAAUGCGUAGAGAAUCAGGAAGAACAUCGGUGGCGAAGGCGCUCUG